UAGGGAAUCUUCGGCAAUGGGGGCAACCCUGACCGAGCAACGCCGCGUGAGUGAAGAAGGUUUUCGGAUCGUAAAGCUCUGUUGUAAGAGAAGAACGUGUGUGAGAGUGGAAAGUUCACACAGUGACGGUAACUUACCAGAAAGGGACGGCUAACUACGUGCCAGCAGCCGCGGUAAUACGUAGGUCCCGAGCGUUGUCCGGAUUUAUUGGGCGUAAAGCGAGCGCAGGCGGUUUAAUAAGUCUGAAGUUAAAGGCAGUGGCUUAACCAUUGUUCGCUUUGGAAACUGUUAAACUUGAGUGCAGAAGGGGAGAGUGGAAUUCCAUGUGUAGCGGUGAAAUGCGUAGAUAUAUGGAGAAACACCGGUGGCGAAAGCGGCUCUCUGGUCUGUAACUGACGCUGAGGCUCGAAAGCGUGGGGAGCAAACAGG
rnacentral:rRNA from 1 species